UACAGAGGUCUCAAGCGUUGUUCGGAUUCAUUGGGCGUAAAGGGUGCGUAGGCGGCGCGGUAAGUCGGGUGUGAAAUCUUGGAGCUUAACUCCGAAACUGCAUUCGAUACUGCCGUGCUUGAGGACUGGAGAGGAGACUGGAAUUUACGGUGUAGCGGUGAAAUGCGUAGAUAUCGGAAGGAACACCAGUGGCGAAGGCGGGUCUCUGGACAGGUACUGACGCUGAGGCACGAAGGCCAGGGGAGCAAACGGG
rnacentral:rRNA from 1 species